CAGUAGCCGCGGUAAUACGAAGGGUGCAAGCGUUACUCGGAAUUACUGGGCGUAAAGCGUGCGUAGGCGGCUUUUUAAGUCGGAUGUGAAAUCCCUGAGCUUAACUUAGGAAUUGCAUUCGAUACUGGGAAGCUAGAGUAUGGGAGAGGAUGGUAGAAUUCCAGGUGUAGCGGUGAAAUGCGUAGAGAUCUGGAGGAAUACCGAUGGCGAAGGCAGCCAUCUGGCCUAAUACUGACGCUGAGGUACGAAAGCAUGGGGAGCAAACAGGAUUAGAGACCCGCGUAGUCCCUGUCUCUUAUAC
rnacentral:rRNA from 1 species